ACGACUGAUCCUCAAGAUCAUGAGGCUCGGACCAGGUGACGUUCCUACAACUAUUCACUUCACUUUAUUCCCAAAUGUUUGGUCAUUACUGACUGAGAAAUAAUAAUAUCACAUUUUCAUCAGAGGAGCAAUGUUUUUGGUCUCUUGGGGUAUGUCUCUAUAAGCUUGGCACAUCUAGCCACUGGUAUUUUUGCCCAUUCUUCAAGGCAAAACUGCUCCAGUUCCUUCAAGCUUGAUGGGGUCCGCUGGUGUACAGCAGUCUUUAAGUCAUACCACAGAUUCUCAAUUGGAUUGAGGUCUGGGCUUUGACUAGGCCAUUCCAAGACAUUUAAAUGUUUCCCCUUGAAACCGCUUGAGUGUUGUUUUAGCAGUGUGCUUGGAGUCAUUGUCCUGCUGGAAGGUGAACCUCCGUCCCAGUCUCAAAUCUCUGGAAGAAUGAAACAGGUUUCCCUCAAGAAUUUCCCUGUAUUAAGCGCCAUCCAUCAUUCCUUCAAUUCUGACCAGUUUCCAAGUCCUUGCUGAUGAAAAACAUUCCCACAGCAUGAUGCUGCCACCACCAUGUUUCAAUGUGGGGAUGGUGUUCUCGAGGUGAUGAGAGGUGUUGGGAUUGCGCCAGACAUUGCGUUUUCCUUGAUGGCCAAAAAGCUCAAUUUUAGUCUCAUCUAACCAGAGUACCUUUUUCCAUAUAUUUGGGGAGUCUCCCACAUGUCUUUUGGCGAACAUCAAAUGUGUUUAUUUCUUGUUUUUUCUGCAAUGGCUUUUUUUCUGAACAGUAUUCCAAAAAAAGCCCAACUCUAUGGUGUUUAUGGCUCAAAGUGGUCUUAUGGACAGAUACUCAAAUCUUCGCUGUGCAGCUCCUUAUCUUUGGUCUCUUGGUUGCCUCUCUGAUUAAUGCCCACCUUGAUUGGUUCAUGAGUUUUGGUGGGCAGCCCUCUCUUGGCAGGUUUGUUGUGGUGCCAUAUUCUUUCAAUUUUUUAAUAAUGGAUUUAAUGGUGCUCCAUGGGAUGUUCAAAGUUUCAGAUAUUAUUUUAUAACCAAACCCUGAUCUGUACUUCUCCACAACUUUGUCCCUAACCUGUUUGGAGAGCUCCUUGGUCUUCAUGGUGCCACUUGCUUGGUGGUGCCCCUUGUUUAGUGGUGUUGCAGACUCUGGGGCCUUUCAGAACAGGUGUAUAUCAACUGAGAUCAUGUGACACUUAGGUUGCCCACAGGUGGACUUUAUUUAACUAAUUAUGUGACUUCUGAAGAUAACUGGUUACACCAGAUCUUAUUUAGGGGCUUCAUAGCAAACAUAUGCACACACCAAUUUGGACGAUUUUUUAUGUCCAUUGCAUGAAAUCCAAUUAAAAAUCUAUUUAAAUUACAGGUUGUAAUGCAACAUAAUAGGAAAAAUGCAAAGGGGGGAGAAUACUUUUGCAAGGCACUGUAGAUGGUAUUUAUACAUUAUAAAAUCAUGUUUUCAGUCACAUGACAAAUGUAUUAUAUGCUGUAUUAUAGAUAUUUUCAUCUGACCUAGAUCGUUUGUGUGUAUGCAUUGAUAUGUAGUCUAUCUAUGCCUUUUUUAUGUAUGUAGUUCUGUCCUUGAGCUGUUCUUGUCUAUUAACGUUCUGUAUUAUGUCAUGUUUCAUGUUUUGUGUUGGACCCCAGGAAGAGUAGCUGCUGCUUUUGAAACAGCUAAUGGGGAUCCUAAUAAAAUGCUAAAUAACAAAUCUACAUGUGGUCAUUGCAAUUGAUAGUCUCUCUAUUAUCUUGAUAUAAUAGCUAUUACACAGCAUGUCCCUCUGAAAAUCAGUCUGACGAUUCCAUAAACUGAAUUGGAUAGAGUACAUGAGUAUCAUAGUAUUGUAUUCUUCUCCAUACCUCAUCUCCUCCUCCUAGGUGGAGCUGUGAUGCUGUUGGUGUAGUAUUGUAUUCAUCUCCAUGCCUCAUCUCCUCCUCCUCCUCCUAGGUGGAGCUGUGAUGCUGUUGGUGUAGUAUUGUAUUCAUCUCCAUGCCCCAUCUCCUCCUCCUCCUCCUAGGUGGAGCUGUGAUGCUGUUGGUGUAGUAUUGUAUUCAUCUCCAUGCCCCAUCUCCUCCUCCUAGGUGGAGCUGUGAUGCUGUUGGUGUAGUAUUGUAUUCAUCUCCAUACCUCAUCUCCUCCUCCUAGGUGGAGCUGUGAUGCUGUUGGUGUAGUAUUGUAUUCAUCUCCAUGCCUCAUCUCCUCCUCCUCCUCCUAGGUGGAGCUGUGAUGCUGUUGGUGUAGUAUUGUAUUCUUCUCCAUACCUCAUCUCCUCCUCCUAGGUGGAGCUGUGAUGCUGUUGGUGUAGUAUUGUAUUCAUCUCCAUGCCUCAUCUCCUCCUCCUCCUCCUAGGUGGAGCUGUGAUGCUGUUGGUGUAGUAUUGUAUUCAUCUCCAUGCCUCAUCUCCUCCUCCUCCUCCUAGGUGGAGCUGUGAUGCUGUUGGUGUAGUAUUGUAUUCAUCUCCAUGCCUCAUCUCCUCCUCCUCCUCCUAGGUGGAGCUGUGAUGCUGUUGGUGUAGUAUUGUAUUCAUCUCCAUACCUCAUCUCCUCCUCCUAGGUGGAGCUGUGAUGCUGUUGGUGUAGUAUUGUAUUCAUCUCCAUGCCUCAUCUCCUCCUCCUCCUCCUAGGUGGAGCUGUGAUGCUGUUGGUGUAGUAUUGUAUUCAUCUCCAUGCCCCAUCUCCUCCUCCUCCUCCUAGGUGGAGCUGUGAUGCUGUUGGUGUAGUAUUGUAUUCAUCUCCAUGCCCCAUCUCCUCCUCCUAGGUGGAGCUGUGAUGCUGUUGGUGUAGUAUUGUAUUCAUCUCCAUGCCCCAUCUCCUCCUCCUCCUCCUAGGUGGAGCUGUGAUGCUGUUGGUGUAGUAUUGUAUUCAUCUCCAUACCUCAUCUCCUCCUCCUAGGUGGAGCUGUGAUGCUGUUGGUGUAGUAUUGUAUUCAUCUCCAUGCCCCAUCUCCUCCUCCUCCUCCUAGGUGGAGCUGUGAUGCUGUUGGUGUAGUAUUG